GCCCAUUAGCUAGCCCCCCAAACCAAAAACAACCUACCAAUAUUUAUAAACCCAAAAUCACUAAACCUAACACUAAACAAACCAUUUUUCCCCCUAAGUAUGGGCGACAGAAAAGGAACACCGGAGCAAUAGAGAAAGUACCGCAAGGGAAAGCUGAAAGAGAGAUGAAACAGCCCAGUAAAGCUAAAAAAAGCAGAGAUUUAAGCU
rnacentral:rRNA from 1 species